GACGAACCGUGCGAACGUUAUUCGGAAUCACUGGGAUUAAAGCGCGUGUAGGCGGGACGGCACGUCGGUCGCUGAAAUCCCCCGGCUUAACCGGGGAACGGGCGUCGAUACGACCGUCCUGGAGGGGCGUAGGGGGACCUGGAACCUCCGGUGGAGCGGUGAAAUGCGUUGAGAUCGGAAGGAACGCCCGUGGCGAAAGCGAGGUCCUGGACGACUACUGACGCUGAGACGCGAAAGCCAGGGGAGCGAACGGG
rnacentral:rRNA from 1 species